CCGAGUCUUAAUUGGGCGUUAAGUUGCAGGGUAUAGACCCGAAACCCGGUGAUCUAGCCAUGGGCAGGUUGAAGGUUGGGUAACACUAACUGGAGGACCGAACCGACUAAUGUUGAAAAAUUAGCGGAUGACCUGUGGCUGGGGGUGAAAGGCCAAUCAAACCGGGAGAUAGCUGGUUCUCCCCGAAAGCUAUUUAGGUAGCGCCUCGUGAAUUCAUCUCCGGGGGUAGAGCACUGUUUCGGCUAGGGGGCCAUCCCGGCUUACCAACCCGAUGCAAACUGCGAAUACCGGAGAAUGUUAUCACGGGAGACACACGGCGGGUGCUAACGUCCGUCGUGAAGAGGGAAACAACCCAGACCGCCAGCUAAGGUCCCAAAGUCAUGGUUAAGUGGGAAACGAUGUGGGAAGGCCCAGACAGCCAGGAUGUUGGCUUAGAAGCAGCCAUCAUUUAAAGAAAGCGUAAUAGCUCACUGGUCGAGUCGGCCUGCGCGGAAGAUGUAACGGGGCUAAACCAUGCACCGAAGCUGCGGCAGCGAACGUAUCACCCAAGACAACUUUGCGGAGUUGACGAUUGACGGAGCGAAGCGACGUCAAAGCGUUCAUUAAAGUCGAGUUGGCUUAGGGAUACGUUCGUUGGGUAGGGGAGCGUUCUGUAAGCCUGUGAAGGUAUGCUGUGAGGC
rnacentral:rRNA from 1 species